GGCUCAGGAUGAACGCUGGCGGCGUGCUUAACACAUGCAAGUCGAACGAAGCACUUUACUACGAUUUCUUCGGAAUGACGGUUUUGUGACUGAGUGGCGGACGGGUGAGUAACGCGUGAGGAACCUGCCUUUCAGAGGGGGGACAACAGUUGGAAACGACUGCUAAUACCGCAUGAUACAUUUGGGCGGCAUCGCUUGAAUGUCAAAGAUUUUAUCGCUGAAAGAUGGCCUCGCGUCUGAUUAGAUAGUUGGCGGGGUAACGGCCCACCAAGUCGACGAUCAGUAGCCGGACUGAGAGGUUGAACGGCCACAUUGGGACUGAGAUACGGCCCAGACUCCUACGGGAGGCAGCAGUAGGGAAUAUUGCACAAUGGAGGAAACUCUGAUGCAGCCAUGCCGCGUGUGUGAAGAAGGCCUUCGGGUUGUAAAGCACUUUCGGAGGGGAGGAAAAGAUGACGUUACCCUCAGAAGAAGCACCGGCUAACUCCGUG
rnacentral:rRNA from 1 species